rnacentral:lncRNA from 1 species
AUUUAACUGUUAGAGCUAAUAAAUAUUUUAAAUAUAAUUUUAAACAUAUAAAUUAAAAAGAUUAGAAUUAUUGGUGAGAAAAAAAAUAGUUAGGAAUUUGAAUUCGAAUCUGACUAACAAUCACAAAACUUAUUUCCGAACUCGACGGAUUUCAAAAAUUCAUAUCCAAAUUCAAAACUGACCAAUUUUUCGAAACCCAAAACCAAACCUAAACCAGAAGACUAGAAUUCAAACAAUUAUUUCUGUUUAUCAUAUUUCAAAGAAUUUAUAUAAAACUUAAAUUUUUAAAAUAUAAAUUUGAAUAUAAUAUUAAAUUUUAAAUUUAAAAGGGAAAUUUAAAUUAGAGGAAUUUUAUAUUACUAUUUAAAGUUUAAAUUCAAUGAUUAUAUUGUGAAAUCAUUUGAAAUUUUCCUUAUAUGAAAUGCCAAAUUAUGAAAGGAAAUAUAGAGAGAGAAAAAGGAAACAAAGAAAAAAUAAAAAUUUUCAAAAUAUAGUAGAUGUAAAAUGACUAAAUUGCCCAUGUAUUAAAAGACAAAAAUAUUUUUUUUUGAGGUACCUGAUAACCGGUACCUCUCCUAAAGUGACCUGCUAUUGCAGGUCACAAUUUAAAAAAAACUAAAUAUGAGCCGUUGAAUACACAUGAAUGAACGGUAACCAAAAAAAAAAAGUAUAGAAGCAUUACUCUCAUUCUAGAGAUGUAAAAAGAUCGGAUUCAGAGUAAAUUUUUAAAAAUUCGAACCCGAAUCUGACUAUCGAACUCAAGACCCAAACAAACAAACUCAAAUCUGGCAAAUUUUAGAAAAUCAUAUCCACAUCCGUACCCGACUUAUAAUCCGAAAUCUGAAUCCUAGCCCAAAUCCGAAAAUCCAAACCUGAAACAUUAUUUCUCUUUAUAAUAUUUCAAAAUAUAUUAAAUUAAAUCUAAAAUUUUAAAGUAAUAUUCAAAUAUAACAUCAAACAUUUAUAUAUAUUAUAUAUAUAUAACGUAAAAUAAAUUCAGGUUCCGGUCGGAUUCAGGUUUGGUUCGGAUACAAUCAAAAUCCAUACCCGAAUUCAAAUCCGUCUGGUAUUUGUGUUUGGUAUCAAUAUCUGAAACUAU